UACGGAAGGCAGCAGUGGGGAAUAUUGCACAAUGGGCGCAAGCCUGAUGCAGCCAUGCCGCGUGUAUGAAGAAGGCCUUCGGGUUGUAAAGUACUUUCAGUCGUGAGGAAGGUGUUAAGGUUAAUAACCUUAGCAAUUGACGUUAGCGACAGAAGAAGCACCGGCUAACUCCGUGCCAGCAGCCGCGGUAAUCGGAGGGUGCGAGCGUUAAUCGGAAUUACUGGGCGUAAAGGGCACGCAGGCGGUUAAUUAAGUUGGAUGUGAAAUCCCCGGGCUUAACCUGGGAAUGGCAUUCAAGACUGGUUAGCUAGAGUCUUGUAGAGGGGGUAGAAUUCCAUGUGUAGCGGUGAAAUGCGUAGAGAUGUGGAGGAAUACCGGUGGCGAAGGCGGCCCCUGGACAAAGGCUGACGCUCAUGUGCGAAAGCGUGGGGAGCAAACAGGGAUUACGAUACC
rnacentral:rRNA from 1 species